ensembl:lncRNA
UUGUUGUUUUUUUUUCCAUGCUUGUAUUCUUCUAUCCUUGAUUUAUUUCAAGCAAUAGGUGUUGAUAUUGUGUAAGUGAAGUAUUCAAGAUGACAUUUGAUUUGGGGAAAGACAAAGGUUAUCCCAUAAGCAAAGACAUGUCAGAUUCUGGGUUUGGAAGGGGUAGAUUUUUUAGUGAGGUGCAGUUCACACCACUUUCAAAAGUAGGACAUGUAGAGGUACCCUCACCUGCAUUUUGCUCUACUCGGGUGCUCAACAAAUCUACUGACCAAGUACCCAGUCAGUCGCUUUCAGCUAUUCCGGAUCUGAACGAUCCAGCUUUACAUGAUCUUAUAACACACAUUGCACAUCAGGUAGGCCAGACACUGAUGUCAGGUCAGCAAAAAGAGAGUCAAGAAGAGAAGGUAAAUAAGACCGCAACAGUACAGGGUUUAGAAACAAACCAGUCCCUCACAGACCCACCUUCGAUCAACUUGUCAGGUGUUAGACUAGUUUUACAGUCUGAUGUAAAAGAGCCCCCAGUCUUCCGUGGUGAUGAGUCAGACAGGCUUACUGUACAUGAGUGGGAAGAGGUCAUGGAAACUUAUUUGAGGAAACGGGGGGUAGUGCUUGCUGAACAGUGCACAGAGAUCCUUUCUAAAUUAAUGGGCAGAGCUAAAGACAUAGUUAAGAUCACGCUUCGCAGUAAUCCUACUCUAAAACCCGCUGAUGACCCAAAAGUUAUUUUUGAUGUGUUAAAGCAACACUAUGGUGAAGUCAAAUACUCAUGCAUGCCUUUAGCUGAUUUUUAUGGUACAGUACCAGUGCCAGGAGAGAAUCCUUUUGAAUACUGGGUUCGUCUGAAUAAGGCUGUUGAUGCAGCAGAAGAAGGCUUGAGAAGGCUAGGCAGACGAAUCGAGGACUCGUGUCAUGAAGUGGCCAUGAUGUUCGUCAAGUAUUGCCCUGAUCCUGCUCUCGCUGCUGUUUUCAAGUUCAAGGCGCCAGACAAGUGGACGGCUAGCGAGAUACAAGAACAUCUUGACCGUUAUCAGUCUGAGGUGAGACAGCAGGUACCAGUUAAACUCAAACGGCCCAGUUACAUGAGACAUGCUGCAGCCCAAGCCGAGAGACUUGAACCAGCUGUGGUAACUGCCAACAAUCACCCAGCAGAAACUUCUGAACAGACUGACAGUGCUGUUGCGCCUGUUCCUCAUGUCGACGAUAACUGCAUGAAAGCUCUUGUGAGUCUCUUGGACCGUGCGCUUUCACAGAACAACCAGAUUGCAAGCAGGUCAUUCCCUCUAGCCCAUUCAUCAGCCCAACGGUGUAGAGUAUGUAAAUCUGAUGACCAUUCCACUCUUGUUCAUUGCAGACGACAGCGACUGUGUUUGAAUUGCUUUCAGCAGGGGCACAUCAAGAAACACUGCCCAAAUUUUACGUCCAAUCGACCUACUCAACAUUCCUCUCCAGAUUCUCAGCCUUUAAACUAGUUAGCUCACAUUCAAGAGGGAAAAGUGUGAGCAGAAGUGAACAAUCCCUCAGAAGUGAUGACCUUGAGCAGUGUUACAUGACAGCGUGCACCCAAGCAUCAGCAGAUUCUAAAGUCAUAGUGCAGAAUACACAGAGAAUUGAGCCAUUUGAUGAGCUGUUCUAUGCACCAGUUAACGUGAAUAACAGAUUCCAAUUACGGGGAAUGAUUGACUCAGGAUCCAUGGCAUGUACUCUUAGUGAGGAGG